AGAGUUUGAUCCUGGCUCAGGAUGAACGCUGGCGGCAGGCUUAAUACAUGCAAGUCGAACGGUAACAGUACUAGCAAUAGUAGCUGACGAGUGGCGCACGGGUGCGUAACGCGUAUGCAACCUACCCAUAAUUGGAACAUAACGUUGAGAAAUUAACGCUAAUAUUCUAUGUGAAUAUGAAGAGGCAUCUUUUUAUAUUUAAAGAUUCAUUGAUUAUGGAUGGGCAUGCGUAUCAUUAGCUUGUUGGUGAGGUAACGGCUCACCAAGGCGACGAUGAUUAGGGGUUCUGAGAGGAUAUCCCCCCACACUGGAACUGAGACACGGUCCAGACUCCUACGGGAGGCAGCAGUAGGGAAUAUUGGGCAAUGGAAGCAAUUCUGACCCAGCCAUGCCGCGUGAAGGAAUACAGCCCUAUGGGUUUUAAACUUCUUUUAUUGUAGAGUAAACGGAGGUACGUGUACCUCCCUGCAAGUAUAUGAUGAAUAAGGAUCGGCUAACUCCGUGCCAGCAGCCGCGGUAAUACGGAGGAUCCAAGCGUUAUCCGGAUUUAUUGGGUUUAAAGGGUGCGCAGGCGGAUCAAUAAGUCAGGGGUGAAAAAUUUCAGCUUAACUGGAAUCGUGCCUUUGAUACUGUUGGACUAGAGUAUAAUUGACGUGACUGGAAUGUGAUGUGUAGCGGUGAAAUGCUUAGAUAUGUCACAGAACGCCAAUCGUGAAGACAGGUCACGAAAUUAUUACUGACGCUCAUGCACGAAAGCGUGGGGAUCAAACAGGAUUAGAUACCCUGGUAGUCCACGCUGUAAACGAUGAUUACUCGUUGUUGGGCAGUGAUGCUCAGUGGCUAAGCGAAAGCGAUAAGUAAUCCACCUGGGGAGUACGAUCGCAAGGCUGAAACUCAAAGGAAUUGACGGGGGCCCGCACAAGCGGAGGAGCAUGUGGUUUAAUUCGAUGAUAC
rnacentral:rRNA from 1 species